AGAACAGCACGUAGCAGGCCCCUGUGGAGGAUUAACACAGUGGCUGAACACCGGGAAGGAACUGGCACUUGGAGUCCGGACAUCUGAAACUUGAAUUGACAAGCCGACAUCAGUCUCCAGAGUGAAUCCAAGGAGUGGACCCAAGACAUUUGUGUUCUGUGAUGUGGUGGCAUGUUACCUGUCAUCUCCGAUGCAUAACUCCUAAAGUGCGUCUGGGGCAGUUGUACAGAUUGCAGAGGAUAAUACUCAAGAUGUUCUCCAAGGCCAACUAGUCAUCAGUUUAUUCAUGCAAGUUUCUGGGAUUGGAUUCAUGAACUCAUCCUUUGAACUAUUUCAACAAGCUUUUUCAUGUAACUAAUCUGCGGAAGGUAGAAAGGGGAAAACUGUUGGGUGCUAAAAUGACAACUGGUUCAAGGUACAAUGGCGAAUAUUUUUAUUUCUGCAACUUUUCUUAGAGGUUGGAAACUGGACUGGGCAGGAAGAUUCCUUUUUGUAAGAUUAGUCUCCAGUUUUCAUCAAGCAGUUUAGUGGGGUAUUUUAGGCCCAGUUCCCUCUCCACAGUCCCCAAAGGUCUUCUGUUAACUUUAAAUCCGCAAAGAGAGAGAUCUCUGCCAAGCAGCAACUGCAAGAGCAUGUGGGUCAAUGUUACCAGCAGACACUCAAAGCCCAUUCCCUUUACUUCAACACCGCUUUAUAAAUUAUCUUAGAGACGUUGUCAGGUUGGUAUUAGAGGUGAGUGGUCAUGACUUCACGAUUUCUCAUCUUUCUGAAUGCAUAGUGGCUGGGAGUGGUGGCUCAUGCCUGUAAUCCCAGCAGUUUGGGAGGCCGAGGUGGGCAGAUUGUUUGACCACAGGAGUUCGAGACCAGCCGGGGUAACAUGGCAAGACCCCAAUCUCUACCAAAAAAAAAAAAAAAAAAUACAAAAA
rnacentral:lncRNA from 1 species